CAGGCAGAGAUCCAGCCUUCCCCCACUCAUAAUAGAAUAUCAAAACAGACAAAACGUCGGGAAUAAUAGCCUUAAGUUCUAUAAAGCAGGUGGUGAACAAGAAAUAUCAGUUAGGAUGCUCACUACUAAGUGUAAGUAACUUACUGUAAGCUAACGUUAGCUAACAACUUGAUAGAGAGAGGCAUAACUGUGGGUUUGUCUGUCCUAUAGUGAUGAAAAAAACAGUUAAUGCAGUUACGUGUCAUUUUUGCUGGCAGACAAGUGACCCAACCUGUCACCACCAUAAUACUUGGACAAACAAGAACAAUAUAGCCUAAUAUAUGGGUGUUUCAAUUACUUUGAAUGGGAAUGAUCUUUAGGUGUACUAGGGCGAUAUAUAUGGCUUUUCUUGACUUUAUUAAUUGAAAACACAUAGAAUACCGUUUCUGCAAUAAAAUAUAGUAAAAGAGCAAACUGAAGAGCUUUCAGCUGUGAGGGAGACCUCCACUAAACUCCAGUCCAGGUUUUUCGAGCAACACCUGCUAACCGAGAAAUUCAAUUAAGGACUCCUCUUCCCACUAGGAGCCGGUCUCCAGGGCAGAUCUUCCGGGCGACUCGCCCUGUAAGAAAUUAGAAAAUGCUACAAUAAAACCCGAAAAACUGAAAAUAAUGUGGCAACUUUAACAAUGAAAGCUCUCACGCUAUCCACCAUAAUCACACACGUCCCUUUAGUUGGAAGUCACCGAAAGACAGCGAAGUACCACAGAUCAUUCAUGGAAAGCCGUCUUCUAUAUUAAAGAUGCCACAGCUAGUACAACACAAGUGUCACUGAAGACCUCUGUGAUUCCCCCACCCCUCUGUGCCAGGACUGCUCCUCCUCCCUUUGGAUCUAUUAGUUUGAAAUCGUUUGGGUGAUGACUCUUUGAAAGUGGUGGUCAUUCUGGGAUGCCGUGUUCAAAAUGCAACAAAGACCUCCCUUUUAUGCACAAAUGCUAAUUCAGAUUUUUUACCCCCCAUCCCCAAGCUGCAGAGGGAAAGACUUGGUAGCAAUUUGGCAGAUAAUCAAAUUGCAUUUUAAAUGGAGCCGUUUAAAGAUGACUGGGGUCUGCUCACAGGAAGACACAGUGGCACAAAUUAAGCUUGAAUAAGCUGCUAUGUGCACAGAGGAACAAUACAACAAAAUUCACAUCACAAUAGGAGGCUGCAUUUAU